GUGGACGUGGUGCGUGGUGCACCGCUGCUACAACUACUGGUACGCGUUCGGCCAUCGUUUAAUCAGCAGUUUGACGGGGUUCGAUUCCUCGCGUCCGCA